rnacentral:misc_RNA from 1 species
CAGAGUUCUCGCCCUCGCGGGUAGAUCUCCCACCCCCUGUUAUCGUUACUGUGUUGCUUUGGCGGGCUGCCAGGCCUGGCCUGGCCGCCGGCUCCGGCUGGCGCGCGCCCGCCAGAGGCCCGAUAAAUCCUGACUGUCGGUGUCGUCUGAGUACUAUUACAAUAGUUA